UACGUAGGCAGCAAGCGUUGUUCGGAAUUACUGGGCGUAAAGAGUGUGUAGGCGGUGCUCUAAGUUCGGUGUGAAAUCUCCCGGCUCAACUGGGAGGGUGCGCCGAAAACUGGGGUGCUGGAGCGCGGGAGAGGAAAGCGGAAUUCCUGGUGUAGCGGUGAAAUGCGCAGAUAUCGGGAAGAACACCCGUGGCGAAGGCGGCUCUCUGGGACGGUACUGACGCUGAGACGCGAAAGCGUGGGGAGCGAACAGG
rnacentral:rRNA from 1 species